GGCAGGGUAGCAAAGUGGUCUAAUGCAGCGGCCUUAAGCAGCCGAGUGGUUUUUUCACUCAGAAUUGCAAUCCGCCAUUCGCGGGUUCGAACCCCGCCCUUGCCA
rfam:Malassezia sympodialis ATCC 42132 genomic scaffold, msy_sf_18